CGGAUAUCUUCGGCUCCGCAGCCCGACCCCGAGUCGGCUGCCCCUUGAUCCAGCAAUCCGACCUCGGGUCGGAUAUCUUCGGCUCCGCAGCCCGACCCCGAGUCGGCUGCCCCUUGAUCCAGCAAUCCGACCCCGAGUCGGCAAUCUCUGACAACAACAGACUGUUCCCUUGAGGCACGCCGCGGCCCCCUGCUCCACUACUCCCUGCAACGGCCGUAUCCGACGCUGUUUCACGAUCCCCUGUAACAGCCGUAC
rnacentral:lncRNA from 1 species